rnacentral:rRNA from 1 species
GACGAACGCUGGCGGCGUGCUUAACACAUGCAAGUCGAACGGAAAGGCCCUGCUUUUGUGGGGUGCUCGAGUGGCGAACGGGUGAGUAACACGUGAGUAACCUGCCCUUGACUUUGGGAUAACUUCAGGAAACUGGGGCUAAUACCGGAUAGGGGCUCCUGCUGCAUGGUGGGGGUUGGAAAGUUUCGGCGGUUGGGGAUGGACUCGCGGCUUAUCAGCUUGUUGGUGGGGUAGUGGCUUACCAAGGCUUUGACGGGUAGCCGGCCUGAGAGGGCGACCGGCCACAUUGGGACUGAGAUACGGCCCAGACUCCUACGGGAGGCAGCAGUGGGGAAUAUUGCACAAUGGGCGGAAGCCUGAUGCAGCAACGCCGCGUGCGGGAUGACGGCCUUCGGGUUGUAAACCGCUUUCGCCUGUGACGAAGCGUGAGUGACGGUAAUGGGUAAAGAAGCACCGGCUAACUACGUGC